UCUCUCUGAAUCUGCGAACGGCUCCGCAAACCAGUUGUAAACUAUAGCAAGCAAUCCUGUGGUUGGGCUUCGGCCUGGCUGCAGGUAAAAUGGAUAACCAUGGUAAUUCUGAGGCUAAUACAAGAACGUACUCCCUGGCUAACCGGCAACGGAAGGCUGGGGAGCGUGCAACGUAUCGUAAGACAAACCGGGAAUGGGUGCACGCUUGGACCGCGCUAAAAACAGAUCUCGGCGAGCCUUCGGGUGAGCUUUGGCCUGAGCGGCUCUUGCUGUGUGCUUCUGACCUAUCAACUAGAUGGCAGCGUAACGGACAUGCUAUGGUUACAACGGGUACAGAGGAUUAGGGUUCGAUCCUGGAGAGUGGGCCUGAGAGAUU
rnacentral:rRNA from 1 species